CCUAUUAACCUAAACCACAGCUUUAGAAAGAUAAGGCUGUAGGCAAAUGCAAAUUUUAAUUAAAAUUAACUUACAAGAAUGAGAACCCUCUUUCAGUGGAGGAACAAGCACUGUAAAUGUGGGGGACAGCUGGAAACCACCUGCCAGCAUCUGGAGACCAGGGGGGCCCUGCAGGACUGGGAAGGAAGCCACUAGUCUGGAAGUAAGCUAAAACUUGGGCGCAGACACUUCUGCUGGGAAAGGAGAAUGUAAGGCCUCCAUUGUACUUGCUGCUACUUGAGUUCGCCAAGGACCAUGGACUGGAGUCCACGAUUCAAGGAAAACACAGGCAAUGACACAUACCUUUCCUGUAAGCAGAACAGGAAAUUGGUACGUUGCUCUAAAUGUCCACGAGUGCUGUCUAGAUGAACAAAGGAUAAAUCAUGUAGUGGCAUCUGAUACCACUUGAUGUUUGAAACAAAACAUGACUUAAGGUACUUGUUCUGUACUGCUUUUCGGCUGCGUGUAAUCCACAGGCCGCAUAUCGACCUUCUGUUAUGCACAGAAACAUUAAAAUAUCACCUAAAUUAUGUAACUGUUAGUGAUUUCCUAUAGUCAUGAUAAAAUAAUUUCCUUUACCUGUCAUAGUUAACUAAAGCAGAUAUAAAAAAGACGCACGUAAGUUUGUACUAUGUCACCCAACAAUUUUUAUUGUUUACCUAAUAGAAUAAACACUAUCUUUCAAAAUACA